CUGAAGGUAAAGAAAAAAAUCAAGCAGAAUGCAAAGAGAAACAGUCUGAAGGUAAAAUGACUGUGGAAAAUACAUAUAAGGGGCAGAAAAAGAGAGGUCCUUGGAACUCGAGGGAGCUGUGCUCAUAUUCAGGGGAUCCGUCUCAUUCCGAGAGUUAUUGCACUCCAAGCAAAUGGAGUCCCACAAGACUUCACAAGGUGAUAUUUCAUCUCCAUCUCAAGAUUAUUGUAGUAGGUCAUCAGCUUUGA
rnacentral:lncRNA from 12 species